rnacentral:tRNA from 1 species
GGGCCUGUAGCUCAGUUGGUUAGAGCACUACAUUUGCAAUGUAGGGGUCAGGAGUUCGAAUCUCCUCGGGUCCACCA